AGGGCACUGGAGGUGUUAUUGCGCCCUCUAGCGAGCAAUCGCUUAUCCGAGAAGGCGACGAGGUGAAGGAGGGUGGCGAGUCCUCAUGUUUCUCUCCACCAGUAACAAACCACAUCUAAACCGGGACGCCCCAAUACUGGUAAAGCUAGCUACUGCUAAUGUCGAACUCUAGACCCAGAUUGUAUACACCAAGCUGGUCGUGUCGGCGAAACAAUCAAGUGGCGCUCAUUCUGUUCGACGUGGAGGAAAGAGUAAUUCAUCUCUGGGAGAAGCGUGCCAAAUCUGGGGACUGCAUAGCAAUUUUUCUUCGCAAGGGGCACUGCCAAGUUCUGCCUAGCUGCCCAGUCACCCUCUCGGCUGGAACCAACACUGAGCAAGCUGUCACUUUGACUCUGUCAACACACUUUGCCUCUCUGUCAACACACUUUGCCUCUGUCAACAUUUGUGUUAAACUCGCCCAAGUAUCAACUCCUUCUCAUUCACAGUGGGAUACAUCGGCAGCUGGUCUCUUAUCUCUUGGCAGGACGAGCCGCUUGACUUCAUUAACAAGGUGCAUGUGAUGUUCUGGAAAUGUAUGGGGUUUAAAUUCAGAAAGUGACAGAUCAUGAUAGAAGAGAUCUGUCAAACUGCUCUAAAGUAAGGCACAGUGACAGGCAAGUUUACUCUUUCAUUAGAUGUAAUUCCUAGGCUUCCAUCCCUUGUAAAAAACCCUCCAAGUCAGACAUACUGUAUUCAAAGUCCAGGGACCGGUUUUCCAAAAGCUUCUUAAGGCUAAGUUCACCCUUUGAACCUUCAUAGAAGCAUCGCUAAAUCUCCGAGCUGUUUCCCGAAACCAUCGUUAUUAACUUUGCUCUUGAAAACACUCGUAAUCGAACACCUGCCGUAGACCACUCGUAGAACAACUAAGUGCGUCAUUUGAUUAUUUUUUUUGCCCUCCUGCAUCACUUUAUACACAAUCUCAGAAACAUAGAAUCACACGGUUUAUCCAUCUCUCUGUGAGCACUGAUAACUUCAGAAUAAAGCUGACUACAAAUACAAAGUUGCCAAUGUCUUUGCAGUUGAUACAAAUAAGCAACCUGAGAUGACUGCAUUAAAAUAUAAAUCAUGGAAAUACGUUAUAUAGUCAAGUAUGCUGUCUGUAAUUUGUCUCCGUAUAUUUAAUGUGUAGCCUAACGUGCGCAAUGACGUGGCAAAUCUGUGAUUUUGUGCAUUUUUCUAUGAUAAGCCGCCUCAAUAUUUGCAGCCGUAGGUGGUACGCCUAAAAUAUCUCUAGGAGCUGAUCUGUCGUCAGUAUUGUGAAAUCAUGUCAUGGGAAGAUUUGAAUGGAGAAGGGGAAUCUGAGAGCAGUGCUCCAGUUCUUUCCAUCCUGUCAGUGUCGAAACAACAUGCUCCAACGACGCACUUAGCGAUCGUUCUCUCUGCGUGCUGUUCUGAGAAAAGCAUGUUACAUCUUCUGCCAUUUUUAAUAGGGAAGAUGUAUUUGUUAAAACACACGAAAGCCAAAGUUUUAUCAGGAAACCGGCCCUGGUUCAUUACGUGUUUUGUCUGCAUGCGAGGAGACAACUAGCUGAUUUUCUGUAAUGACUGGGAUUGCUCUGUUGAUCCCUGGUCUUACGCUAAUGAUUAUCCAGGUGUCCUUGCUACUAUUGUAAACCACACUAAUGUAAUUUGUUUGGCGUAGCUCAGCUCCUUAUGUUUAUUCUACUGAAUUAUUUUGACUGGUUGAAAUGGAAUUAGGAUUUACUGAGAGCAGUUAAGUGAUAGAAAAAUGCAGACUCGCUGUCUGCUCGCAUGUUUGGAAUGCAGUUUAUUAUAUCAUGACAUGGACAGUGUCUAAAUGCUAUAGGAAUGUGCCACUGUUUUGUACUAAUGAGUCACUUAUUGCUCUGUGGAGACCAGAGUUGAAGCAGUUUGUUGGCAGUAGGAGUCUUCCUUUAAUGCAGCUUGUGCCCGUCUUCUGAUUAGUACGGUUUGACCCGACGACAGUGUCAUCCACGUCCAUAUUGAUUUCAUUAGGAGAGAUUCUCACCAACUAAUCUACACCAAUUUAGAUUUGGCUGAUGUCCACGUUCUCACAAUUGAUGUGAACAGCAUUGUUGACAGUAAUGAGCCUCUGACACGUGAGUCACCAUGUUUCAGUGUGUGUCAAAUUAGCAAAACCCUACGGUUAGUGCCCUUAGCACAGUAGUUAGGCUGUUUUACUCAAUUGGCCGUUGCCAGCUGACACUCAGGGUUGCAACACCUUUAAUUUGAACAAGACUCCUCAUAAACACACAUGAUUCAGUGCAUACUCUCUCAUUACCAGUGUACAUUUGUCACGCUGUAAGGUUUAUAAAAUGCCAAUCACAACGACAGAAUCCACUGAUCUGACAAACCGGUGAAGUCUAAAAUUCACCUGUUAGCAUCAUGAUAAAUGCCCGGCCAGGCCAGCAGCAAAAAUGACUGGAAUAAUGCUGAGUAGGCUAUAAUGUUAAUCUGUGUAUGAUCCCAUAAUCUGGUGGGAAUGAGCCAUGCAGCUCUACCACUGUAGGUGGCCUAUACUGUUAGUGUUAGUAUUAAGCCUGCAUUUAUAAUCACAUGGAUCCAGAGAAGCAAAUCUCUAUUCAGCCAACGUGAAUUAGUCGACAUGCAUACACACACACAGUGGUAUACCAUCCCGCAGGUAUCAGCCUGCCAUACCUUUCAUUUUCAGUCAGCCGUGAUACAGUGGGAAGUCUGCUAUGUGAUUUUUUUUUUUCUUCU
rnacentral:lncRNA from 13 species